AUGGUUGCACAACAAUAUCAAUUUAUUUUAUACCACUGAACCGUGCACUUCAAAAUGGUUAAGAUGGCUGGGGUGUAGUGGUGCGAUCUUGGCUCACUGCAACCUCCACCUCCCGGGUUCAAGUGAUUCUCCUGCCUCAGCCUCCCAAGGAGCUGAGAUUACAGGCAUGCGCCACCACACCUGGCUAAUUUUGUAUUUUUAGUAGGGAUGGGGUUUCACCAUGUUAGCCAGACUGGUCUCGAACUCCUGACCUCAGAUGAUCCACCCACCUUGACCUCACUUACAGGCGUGAGCCACCGCGCCUUGUCUCUGUUAUAUUUAUUUCUCUAUUUAAAUUGAUGGAUAUAUGCAAACCUGAUCAUUAUCAUACUUAUGCCUAGACACAAGAGAGGCAAUAAACUAAUCUAAGUGAUGCUUGUGAUGCCAAAGAUGUCAGAACACUUUCUGGGCCAAUGGCAGAUACCUCAUGUCACCAGAUGCUAAGGGUCCACAAUAAAAAGCACUGAAUGAAAAUUUUGAGGAUAAAUAUCUCCAGGUUGAGGAAGAAGGUUGCACAUAUCGGGUGCUCAAUAAAUAUUUGUUGAAUGAAUGAAUGAGUGAAUGGCCCCAGUGUGUGGGGCUUGGGAAGUGAUUGGAUAUAGGCAGAGAAAAGGAACAAGUCAAAAAUAAUUCAGAAAUCAAGAACAAGCAAGUUGCCUUGAUACACUUCAUUCCUACACUUGGCAAACUUUAGUGAUUAAGGAAACAAUGUUUUAAAAAAAGUUUUGGUGAUGAGACAUUCAGGAAGAUCUAUCAAUAAAUAGCAAACCUGGUCCUUUUUAAGACACUGUGUAUAAAAAAAUUCCAAAAAGAUUAAAAUCAAUGCAGAAACCAAAGAACCAUUUUUUUCUAUAUCAUAUUGAUCAUUUCAAGUGGAACUGUUAGCUAUCUUAGAAAAAUUGUGGUUCUCAAUUGCUUUUGCCUCUAUCUCUGAACCACCAAUCCUAAAGAAAAACAUUCAACCAGAAAAUUUCAGCACAUCACAAUCUCUCUGAAGAUUAAGAAGUCUCUGUGAAGGACUGAAUGUAUAAAUUGAAAAAUUUUUGCUGUCACAUUUAGGUAAAAGAGAAAUCGUUCUUCAUAUCCCCUUCCUUUCCAUCUGUAGCUCACCUAUGUCAACUUUCCUCUCAGAAGUGAAAUAAAAUUAAAGCUAUGACACUGAGUGUCAGUCAUGGAGGGACACGUUCCCCACUUAGCCUUUGCUGAAGUGUUUCCAGAGACAACUGUCUAAUGCCAGGUCCCCACUUAGUGGGCUGCACUUUUCUACUCAUUUGCACAUAAUCCAGAAGUCACAUUUUGGGUUCACAGUUUCCACUGGGGUAACCUCAUUAGGCCUGGCCACCUCUGUGCUUCUUGUGAAGUCUCUGAUUUGAAGGAUUAGUAUCCUUUCCAGACUGUGUGGGUUGACUUUCACCCAUCUGGAGUUGCUUGGAACAAAAAUAACUACCUCAACUCCUUGUCACGAAAGCAAAAAACAAGAUAGCAUUAGAGUUCUGAGAACAGGAUGUCAUUACGGGUUGUGCCUUGUCAGCUACAGGUAAGAUAUUUGAGUGGCUCCUCAAGCCUCCCCAACUCCCUCUCCGACCUCGCUACACAGUCUUCCCAGGUGUGGUAUUUGACCUCCAGACUGCCACCCAGAAAGCAACUCAGAGCUCAGCAACACCAUGAUGAUGAAACACAAAUAUCUGGGCCACCAACUUUGGAGACUCCACUGGUUGCUUUUGUGCAGCUCUUUCUAUAUAUGACUUUCAAAAUGGCAGCCAACCCUCUCAACUGUUGGUUGAUCUGAAUAUGUAAAGUUCAGCCUUCAAACCCAGCAAACAGUCAGCUAUAGGAUAGAGUUCAGGUGCUGGGGAAUGACCACGGUUGGCUGCUACGUUGGGAACCCUGGUGACAUCAUAUAUGGACCUGGGAAUGUAAAGAAACGUAGGAAAUCUGAAUUUAUGACUUUUCUAAUCUCUCUAUCGGGAUCCUUUUUUGGAAUCAAGAUGAUUUUCCUUCUAAAAGGUCAUUUUAUUACAGUAAUGGGCAGGGUAGACAUACCUCACUAGCGUACUCUCAAAAUUUCUUGCAUGCAUAUGCUUUCUCCGGCAUGCAUAUGCUUUCUACUACAAUGUGAACAAGCCUACGAAAGCUAGCCUAAUGGAGGAUGAGAGACCACGUGGAGGAGAGCUGAAGUGCCCCAGCCAGCAGCUAGCCUACACCCACAGCUAUUUUGCUUGUGUUCCACUCGUCCUAUUUGCAUAAUAUUGUUCUUUAAGUUAACCCAUUCUUAAUUUAUUGUUUUAAUCUUAAGCAAUAAUAUUCAAGAACUAAUGAGUUUUGUGUAUUCGUUAUAUUUUUCCAUAAUAUAUAUUAUACUAAUAAAUGCCCAUUCAAAUUU
rnacentral:lncRNA from 1 species